ensembl:snoRNA U3 Small nucleolar RNA U3
AAGACUUUACUUCCAGGGAUCAUUCCUAUCGUCCAUUACUAAAAAAGUUUCUCUGAACAUGUAGAGCACAGGACACCACAAGGAGGAGGCACAACAUUCUCCCUGGAGCCUGAAGCUGGCUUUCAGAGGUUGAGGCAGGCAGAUCACGAGGU